UCCAAACACAUGAUAGGAAGCCCACAAGCCCUGAAGAACUGGGUCCAUUAAUGUUCACCUGAGGCUAUGAAGGACAAGGCGAUGGAGGCUGACAGGUUGUUCAGAAGAGGUUGCCUGCAGUAUCUUGAGGAUUUUGGCCUUAAACAAAACAAGACAUCAUUUAAAUGCCAAAUUCUCUGUUACAAAUUAUCCAAAUUAUUUUUAUGGCUCGCUGCCAUCACCUGUGCAUUAGCUACCUUUCCAUAACGUAGAACUGGGGGACUAGAACAAGGGCUGUGAACACUGCGUUCAAUAUUUGACUGCAAAUGAAACAUUAACAAAAUAUGAAUAAAUGACGGUGUUUGAA